rnacentral:rRNA from 1 species
GUCUUUUUGUAUUUUAUUUAAAGUCUAGCCUGCCCACUGAAAUUAUUUUAAAUGGCCGCAGUAAUUUGACUGUGCAAAGGUAGCAUAAUAAUUAGUUUUUUAAUUAAGAGCUAGUAUGAAAGGUUGGACGAAGUAAAUUCUGUCUCUAUUUAAUUUAAAUUAGAAUUUAAUUUUUAAGUUAAAAAGCUUAAAUGUUUAUAAAAGACGAGAAGACCCUAUAGAGCUUUAUAUUUUUAAUAAUAUAAUUAUAUUAAGAUUUAAUUAUUUUUUAUUAUUAAAAUUAUUUUAUUGGGGUAAUAGAAAGAUUUAAAUAAUUCUUUUUUAUUAUUUAUAUUUAUUUAUAGAAUUAUUGAUCCAAUUUUAUUGAUUAUAAGAUUAAGUUACCUUAGGGAUAACAGCGUAAUUUUUUUGAAGAGUUCUUAUCGAUAAAAAAGUUUGCGACCUCGAUGUUGGAUUAAAGAUUAUUUUUGGUGUAGAAGUUAAAAAUUUUGGUCUGUUCGACCAUUGAAUCUUUACAUGAUCUGAGUUCAGACCGGUGUAAGCCAGGUCGGUUUCUAUCUUUAUUUUUGUAUAAUAUUUUAGUACGAAAGGACCAAAUAUUAAAUAUAUUAAUAUUUAUAUAUUGAAUAUUAUUAAUUAUUUUGGCAGAUUAGUGUAAUGAAUUUAGAAUUCAUAUAUGUAAUUUUUAUUACAAAUAAUACUUGUUUUAUAUAGAUAUAAUUUUUUCUAUUGUUUGUUUAUUAUUGUUAGUNAUUUGUGUAUUAGUAGGAGUUGCUUUUUU